rnacentral:tRNA from 1 species
AUGGCUUUAGUUUAAGUAGAAUAUCUGGUUUUGGUCCAGAGGGUUUAAGCCAUA